rnacentral:rRNA from 1 species
CCUACGGGUGGCUGCAGUGGGGAAUAUUGCACAAUGGGCGCAAGCCUGAUGCAGCCAUGCCGCGUGUGUGAAGAAGGCCUUCGGGUUGUAAAGCACUUUCAGCGGGGAGGAAGGCGGUGAGGUUAAUAACCUCAUCGAUUGACGUUACCCGCAGAAGAAGCACCGGCUAACUCCGUGCCAGCAGCCGCGGUAAUACGGAGGGUGCAAGCGUUAAUCGGAAUUACUGGGCGUAAAGCGCACGCAGGCGGUCUGUCAAGUCGGAUGUGAAAUCCCCGGGCUCAACCUGGGAACUGCAUUCGAAACUGGCAGGCUAGAGUCUUGUAGAGGGGGGUAGAAUUCCAGGGGUAGCGGUGAAAUGCGUAGAGAUCUGGAGGAAUACCGGUGGCGAAGGCGGCCCCCUGGACAAAGACUGACGCUCAGGUGCGAAAGCGUGGGGAGCAAACAGGAUUAGAUACCCGUGUAGUC